rnacentral:lncRNA from 1 species
UUUUUUUUUUUUUUUUUUUUUUUAAGAUUUUGUUUAUUUACUUGAGAGAGACAGAGACAUAGGCAGGCUCCCCACAGGGAGCCUGAUGCAGGACUCACAACCUGAGCCAGAGGCAGACACUCCACCACUGUCAUAAUGCAGAAGCAGCCCUAGACAAUAUGUAAAUCAAUGAGUAUGCCUAUGUUUUAAUAAAACUUCAUUUAAGGAAAUGAGCCAUGGGCUGAGUUUGGCCCACCAAAGUUUUUACUACCCCUUGCUUUUAGUUCUCUCAACAAUCUGCUCUUAGAAUGGAAUUUUUUAAAUUAAAACCAAGUUUGAUACAGUUUUUUUUUGUGAUGUAUACCAGCUGUAUAAAAGUCACAAAAUAUAAAAAAUAUGCAUAUAAGUUACCAAUGUAAAUGUAUUUAAAAGUGAAGAGAAUGUAAGUAAUGAAAGUGAUUAGUGGGUAAAGUAAAUGGGUCAUUUGUGUGCAAACGGUAAUGCAUCUUACAGAGGAAUUAACAGUAAAACAGGUGCUGUGGGAAUUUCUGUCCAGGUUAGGUGAGAAAUAGAUACUAGUUAUUUAAGUGAUUUGAAAUAGCCCUUAAGAAAAGUAAUUAGAGUUCUUGGGAUGGAGGAGAAUGGAGGUGAGGUGAAAACAAUAUUUACUGAUUUUUUUUUCCCACUACUGAUAUCUGCUUAUUUAACUUGGAAUAUGUCCCAUUUAAUCGGGGUAUUGGCACUGUUUAUUCCUUAUUUUAGCAAUUUGUUAGGAUUCUUAUUUUCAGCAAAGUGCCUUGACUCCAUUGAAGAUCUUAUCCAGUGAAACUUGCUGGAGAAAUUUCUAGGACAUUAUUUGUUGCUAGUUGAGAAGGUAGCAUUAGCAGAAAAAUUUUCCUAUAAUGCAGUUGAAAUAGGAUCAGUUUGGUUGAUUUUGGUGUUCAUUGGUUUAAAUAUGUUCUUAAUUGGAUAAUUGAGAAGUAGUAUCUUGGAACAGGUAUUUUACCUCUUCAAAGUCUUCUUUGAAUGUUUUUUUUUUUUUUUUUUUUUUUUUAGUUCUGUCUUUUGAGCUUCUGUUAAUAAGUGCCCCAAAUUUAAAAAUCAUCUUUCUUUAAAAAGUACAUACCAUUAUUAUGAUAGUGUAAAUGUUUGAGUAAAGAGUGUAGGAAGAAUGUUAAUAUUAGGUAGAUCAAUCUAAAAAAUCAUGAUUUUAGUCAAUGUCUAGAAUGUACUUACUAAAAAAAUAAAAAAUACUCAUUUCUAGUAAAGUCAUUUUUAAUAUGUUAGAAAAAUUCUUCCUUGAUGUGAAGGUAAUGUUCAGGUUGCAAGUGAAAUUGCUUCUUUCGGUUAAGGUGCCUGCUCUCAUCAAUUAUUUCAUAAGUUAUUGCUAAUGUAAAAAGAUAGGAAAACAAAAUGAAAAAUUUGGAUAGAGAAUAAAAUACUAUUUGCAAAUUACUUGAUUGCAAUAUUUUGAAAAUCCAAAGAAUUACACUGAAAAUUAGCUUUCCUUUUUUUUCUUUUAAGAUUUAUUUAUUUAUUUAUUCAUAAGAGACACAGAGAAAGAGAGGCAGAGACGCAGGCAGAGGGAGAAGUAGGCUCCAUGCAGGGAGCCCGAUGUGGGACUUGAUCCCGGGUCUCCAGGAUCACUCCCUGGGCUGAAGGUGGCGCUAAACUGCUGAGCCACCCAGGCUGCUCCAAAAAUUAGCUUUCCUAAACAAUAAUAAUCAAUUGGCAAAUUAUAAGAGAAGACCCAUUUAUAGUAAGAUCCACAAAAUAAUAAAAGUUAUGUGGCGCUGCCAAAGGAAAAAACUACAAAACUUAACUGGGAGAUACAGUGUCUCUGGGUAUAAGAUUAAAUAUAUCCCCAUUUGAUAGGUCCCAUUUUCCACACAGAUCUUCCACAGAAGGCUUGUAUCAAGUGGGAGGUGGCAGCUGGUUAGUGGUGCCCAUUGUACCAUUCCCAAAUCCUGUAGUGUAAGGAGAAUCAGGGCAGGACAGCUACUCUUAUUGUACAAGUACCUUUCCAACACAACCGUGUUAUGAGAGACCUGCCCUGGUGAGCUUGGCAUCCAGAUGACAGCUUAUAUCUCUCAAAGCUUUCUGGGGACAGAAGAGCUAUUCUGUGUACAUUCAGCAGCUGGUGAACAUUAUUUUUUUUAAUUAUUUUUUAUUUUAAGAUUUUUUAAUUUAUUCAUGAGAAACACAGAGAGAGGUAGAGACACAGGCAGAGGAAGAAACAGGCUCCAUGCAGGGAGCCCGAUGCAGGCUUGAUCCUGGAACUCUGGGAUCACGCCCUGAGCCAAAGGCAGAUGCUCAACCACUGAGCCACUCAGGCAUCCCACUAGUGAACAUUAGAGCAGAUUCCGUCCUCUGUGAUUCUGGGCUAUAGAAGAUCCAUACUGGGAGGUGAUAGAAGAUUCUCCCCCAUGUUGUCCUCUAACCCCUGACACAACUGCUCUGCAGGGAGGAUCUGAGGGGACAUUCAGCGAAGAGCCAGGUUUCCCAUACCCUCACUCCUACGCCCUACCAAACAUGCUCCAUAGUACAAAGGCGAAGAAAGGGGUUCACUUUAAGAGAAGGGUUGAGUGAGCUUGACAGCACACUUCCCAUAUACUAGGGGCCUAACUUUACCUGGAACAGACUGGAGCUGUUUGUACCCCCAAAAUUGUUGAAAACUAUAGGACAAUCAGCUACCAAUUAAAUAGAGGCUAGCAGUUACUGGUAAUACCAAUAGAUACCAGCCAGAAAGCUUAAAGACCAAAUCGGGGAGACAAAGACUGGGUAAAACUACAGACAUCCCUUGUGAUUAAUGUGUGUGAUUCAGGGCUAGAGCCACAUAGGAACAACCAGAGUUACAAGUCCCUAACAGAAUGUAGGACAAAACUUGUAAACUCCCUAAACAGUGAAAGAUGCCACACCCCACAUAUUGUUGUAGGGUGUAAAUCUCCCUGAUUCAGGGGGCUUAAACACAACCUCUUAUUAAUUAAUGGCUGAUCAUUAAUGAUGCUGACUCAGAAGCAACCCUUAGGAAGUCAUCCUUAAAGAUAAAAAUGAGAGAAACAACUUGAGCAGGAACAUCAGAUGUGUCCCUGCACAUUGUGAGGGACACAGACUUCAUGAAUUAGUUCAGCCAUGCCACUAAAUAAAAAAUAAGCUCAGAGUAGACCGGAGAACCACCAUGUAGACAUCCUACAAUAUGUUACCUAAAACCUGUUUUCAACACAAAAUUAUGAGACAUUCAAAGAAACAAAGUGUGACACGUGGACAAAAGCAGGCAACAGAAAUUUCCUUUGAUGGACAGCAGAUACAGGAUAAGUGUUCUGAAACAAUUGUAAAUCUGUUCAAACACCUAAAGAAAACCAAGUUUAAAGAAUUAAAGUAUGCUGACUGUGACUCAUCAAAUGUAAAUAAAAAGGUAGGAAGAAAAAGAACUAAAUGAAAAUUUUGGGAGUUGAAAAUUUGGAACUUUUGCUAGGGAGGCUCAAUAGUACAUUUAAGCUGGCAGAAGAAUCAGCAAACCUGAAGAUGGAUGGAGAGAAAUUACAAAAUCUGAAGCACAAAUGGGAAAAGGAAUGGGAAAAAAAAAAAAAAAAAAAGCCUUCCUCACACUACAUGCACAAGUCAACUCAAGAUGGAUCAUAAACCAAAAUAUAAGCAAAACCCAUAAAACUCAUGAAAAUAUUGUGACCUCUUUAAGUAGUCGUCUUAGAUAUGACACCAAAAUCACAAAUGAAAAAAGAAAUAAUUUAAAAUGCAUAGUUUUUAUUAGAUUAUGAGUUGACCUAUUUCAUCUAAUUCAAUAAUUUCAAUAAAAACUUUGCUCUACAUAUCUUCAUUCCUCUAGCAAUGUUUAUCUGGGAAUGUCUUAAUUUUUUUCUUCCUUUUUGAAGGAUAGUUUUGCUGACUAUAGAAUUGAUUGACAGUUUUUUCUGUUCAGCACCUUGAGUACAUCAUCUCACUGCUUCUGGCCUCCAUGGUUUCUGUAGAUAAGUCAGCUGUUAAUCUUAUUGAGGAUCCCUUGUAUUGAUGAGUCCCUUGCUGUUUCAAGAUUGUCUCUUGCUUUUGUUUUUAAUAGUUUGAUUAUAAUAUGUCUGGGUAUACAUAUCUUUGAGAACUUGGGAGUUCCUGGAGUUUCAUGGAUUUGUAGGUUAAUAUUUAUCAUCAGAUUUGGGAAGUUUUUUUCAAAUAUUCUUUUCGAUGCUUUUUUCCCUUUUCCUCUCAGACUCACAUUAUAUAUAUGCUGUUAUACUUGUUGGCUCUAUUCUCUUAGGCUCUGUUCAUUUUCUUCAUUUUUUUCCUGUUCCUCAAACUGUACGAUGUCAGUUGAUCUAUCUUUAAGUUUAUAUAUUCAUCUGCUUGCUCAAAUCUGUUGCUGAGCCACUCAAGUGAAAUUUUCAUUUCAAUUAUUAUACUUUUCAACUCUAAUUGAAAGUUAUAGAUUUAAAAGUUCUUUUCACUACUUCUAUUUAUAGUCUUCAUUUGGUUGAAACAUACUUUGAUUUCAUUCUUUAGACAUGGCUUCAUUAAAAUCUUUGCUUAGAAAAUCCGGUGUCUGGGCUUUCUCAGGAUAUCUAUUGAUUGCUUUUCCUCCUGUGUAUGAGCCAUAUUUUCCUCUCUUUGCAUGCCUUGUAAUUCUUAGUUGAAAACAGAACUUUUAAAUUAUUAUAAUGUGGCAACACUGAAAAUCAGAUUCUCCACUCCCUCUUCCAUCCUAGUGUUUGUUGUUGCUGCUUGUUGUAGUUGUUGUUUGUCUAGUAACUUUUCUGAACUAAUUUUGUAAAGUCUGUAUUCUUUGUCAUGUGUGGCCACUGAAGUAUCUGUUGUUAACUUAAUGGCCAGCUAAUGAUUGGACAGAGAUUUCCUUAAACAUCCAGAAUGAAAAAAUUUCCCACUGUUUGCCGUGGAUUCUGUGUGUGUUUUUGUGGUGCACAUCCAGCACUCAGCCAGGUAGUUUACAAUUGUGCCUUAACCUCAGCUUUCUACUUAGGAGAACCUCCAGGUCAGUCAGAGAUGACAGCUUGAGGCCUUCUCAGGGCUUUCCUUAGAAUACACACAGCCCUGACCAUGCAUGUCGCCUUCUAGAUUCCCAGGAAUAU